rnacentral:rRNA from 1 species
UCUUGAUUAUAAAAAAAUAAAAAUUUACCAGAGUACUACGAAUAAAAAUAAAAUUUAAAACUCAAAGGGCUUGGCGGUGUCUUAGACCACUUAGGGGAACCUGUCUCAUAAUCGAUAAUCCACGCUAUACCUAACCUUUUUUUGCGUUCAACUUGUAUACCGUCGUCGUCAGGUAACUUUUCAAAAAUAUAUAAGUUAGCUAUAAAUUUUUAAAUUAAAACGUCAGAUCAAGGUGCAGUCUAUAAAAAGGAGAGGAUGGGUUACAAUUAAUACUUAUAAUUUACGGAAAACUUAUUAGAAUAAAAUAAUUUGAAGGCGGACUUAAAAGUAAAUUGAAUUAUAAAAAUAUUUUGAAUAAGGCUCUGAGAUGUGC